rnacentral:rRNA from 1 species
GAGGAAUAAGCAUCGGCUAACUCCGUGCCAGCAGCCGCGGUAAUACGGGGGAUGCAAGCGUUAUCCGGAAUCAUUGGGCGUAAAGCGCCUGUAGGUUGUUUAAUAAGUCUGUUGUUAAAGACUAGGGCUCAACCCUAGAAAAGCAAUGGAAACUACUAGACUUGAGUAUGAUAGGGGUAGAGGGAAUUUCUAGUGUAGCGGUGAAAUGCGUAGAUAUUAGGAAGAACACCGGUGGCGAAGGCGCUCUACUGGAUCAUUACUGACACUCAGAGGCGAAAGCUAGGGUAGCAAAAGGGAUUAGAUACCCCUGUAGUCCUAGCCGUAAACGAUGGAUACUAGAUGUUGCGUUUAUUAUGCAGUAUCGUAGCUAACGCGUUAAGUAUCCCGCCUGGGGAGUACGCUCGCAAGGGUGAAACUCAAAGGAAUUGACGGGGGCCCGCACAAGCGGUGGAGCAUGUGGUUUAAUUCGAUGCAACGCGAAGAACCUUACCAAGGCUUGACAUACUACAAAUUUCUUUGAAAGAGGAAAGUGCCUUCGGGAAUGUAGAUACAGGUGGUGCAUGGCUGUCGUCAGCUCGUGUCGUGAGAUGUUGGGUUAAGUCCCGCAACGAGCGCAACCCUUAUUUUUAGUUGCUAAUUUAUUAGGUUUUCUAGAAAGACUGCCGGUGACAAACCGGAGGAAGGUGAGGAUGACGUCAAGUCAGCAUGCCCCUUAUGCCUUGGGCUACACACGUGCUACAAUGGUUAAGACAAAGAGUUGCGAGCUCGUGAGAGUCAGCUAAUCUCAUAAACUUAGCCUAAGUUCGGAUUGUAGGCUGCAACUCGCCUACAUGAAG